AAGCGGACCUCAUAAAGUAUGUCGUAGUCCGGAUUUGAGUCUGCAACUCGACUCCAUGAAGUCGGAAUCGCUAGUAAUCGUAGAUCAGAAUGCUACGGUGAAUACGUUCCCGGGCCUUGUACACACCGCCCGUCACACCAUGGGAGUGGGUUGCAAAAGAAGUAGGUAGCUUAACCUUCGGGAGGGCGCUUACCACUUUGUGAUUCAUGACUGGGGUGAAGUCGUAACAAGGUAACCGUAGGGGAACCUGCGGUUGGAUCACCUCCUUACCUUAAAGAA
rnacentral:rRNA from 1 species